UUCCGUAGGUGAACCUGCGGAAGGAUCAUUCACACGAAUCAUCCAAAUCCACGUGCAUCUUUGAGUGAGAGUCGUGGAAGGGCUGGAAACGGCCAUCUGCGUUCUCUCGAGGCUGGUCUGGGGUGGAUUGGGGCCUCUCGAGGGUGGCACCCCUUCUGCUCUGGCCAGCACCCAAACCUUACACACACCCUGUGACUCUGUUUUUGUCGGUACCAUCUUGGUACCACACUCCACAUUACAACUUUUAGCGAUGGAUGCCUCGGCUCGAACAACGAUGAAGGGCGCAGCGAAAUGCGAUAAGCACUGUGAAUUGCAGAGUUCCGUGAAUCAAUAGAACCCUGAACGCAUCCUGCGCUUUCGGGAUAUCCCUGAAAGCAUGUCUGCUUCAGAGUCUCCACUGUAUCCUGCAGCACUGGCCUUGAGCCUUGCUGCGUCUUUGCGCGUCAGAGCGACUGCCAGUGAUUUUGCUGGUGGCUGCUCUGACGUGUUUAAUGCAUCGACCUGCCUUGAGAGCGCCAACUUGGUGAUCGCCCUCGCUGGUGUUUCAUCCAUGCUGUUUGCCUCAAGCUGUGGUGUCGCAGCUCAUUUGCUGCCAGUUUCCUGGCAGUGAACCAAGACAUGAAGUUAGGCAAGGUUACCCGCUGAAUUUAAGCAUAU
rnacentral:rRNA from 1 species